rnacentral:rRNA from 1 species
AGGAUCCAAGCGUUAUCCGGAAUCAUUGGGUUUAAAGGGUCCGCAGGCGGUUUUUUAAGUCAGAGGUGAAAUCCUACAGCUCAACUGUAGAAUUGCCUUUGAUACUGAAAGACUUGAGUUAUUGUGAAGUGGUUAGAAUGUGUGGUGUAGCGGUGAAAUGCAUAGAUAUCACACAGAAUACCAAUUGCGAAGGCAGAUCACUAACAAUAUACUGACGCUCAGGGACGAAAGCGUGGGUAGCGAACAGGAUUAGAUACCCUGGUAGUCCACGCCGUAAACGAUGGAUACUAGCUGUAUGUCUACUUCAGGUAGAUGUGUGGCUAAGCGAAAGUGAUAGGUAUCCCACCUGGGGAGUACGAUCGCAAGAUUGAAACUCAAAGGAAUUGACGGGGGCCCGCACAAGCGGUGGAGCAUGUGGUUUAAUUCGAUGAUACGCGAGGAACCUUACCAGGGCUUAAAUGUAACGGGACAGAUCUAGAGAUAGAUCCUUCUUCGAACUCAUUACAAGGUGCUGCAUGGUUGUCGUCAGCUCGUGCCGUGAGGUGUCAGGUUAAGUCCUAUAACGAGCGCAACCCCCAUCGUUAGUUGCCAACGAGUAAUGUCGGGAACUCUAACGAAACUGCCGGUGCAAACCCGUGAGGAAGGUGGGGAUGACGUCAAAUCAUCACGGCCCCUUACGUCCUGGGCUACACACGUGCU